rnacentral:rRNA from 1 species
GCAGUCGAGCGGAUGAAGGGAGCUUGCUCCUGGAUUCAGCGGCGGACGGGUGAGUAAUGCCUAGGAAUCUGCCUGGUAGUGGGGGAUAACGUCCGGAAACGGGCGCUAAUACCGCAUACGUCCUGAGGGAGAAAGUGGGGGAUCUUCGGACCUCACGCUAUCAGAUGAGCCUAGGUCGGAUUAGCUAGUUGGUGGGGUAAAGGCCUACCAAGGCGACGAUCCGUAUCUGGUCUGAGAGGAUGAUCAGUCACACUGGAACUGAGACACGGUCCAGACUCCUACGGGAGGCAGCAGUGGGGAAUAUUGGACAAUGGGCGAAAGCCUGAUCCAGCCAUGCCGCGUGUGUGAAGAAGGUCUUCGGAUUGUAAAGCACUUUAAGUUGGGAGGAAGGGCAGUAAGUUAAUACCUUGCUGUUUUGACGUUACCAACAGAAUAAGCACCGGCUAACUUCGUGCCAGCAGCCGCGGUAAUACGAAGGGUGCAAGCGUUAAUCGGAUUUACUGGGCGUAAAGCGCGCGUAGGUGGUUCAGCAAGUUGGAUGUGAAAUCCCCGGGCUCAACCUGGGAACUGCAUCCAAAACUACUGAGCUAGAGUACGGUAGAGGGUGGUGGAAUUUCCUGUGUAGCGGU